UAUAUAACAUGAUAAAUAAAUAAUUAAAACAUUCAAAAGUCAUCAAUUGUAAUCACCAUAUCAAUUGUAAUCAUUUUACCAUUGACGGGUAAUAAUACAACAAUUUUUCAGUAGCCAGCCUCAUGGUCAAUACUUAUAAUUGUUGUAUAAAAUUGAAUGUGUUCUGACACUUGCACAGCAACCACAAAGAAACCCAGCAAUGUAAAUGGAAAAAAAUAAAUAAAUUUUACACAAGCCGUAUAAAAGAUGCCUUGCAAAUAUCAAACUAUAUUUACUGAAGCCAAGCCUAAAAUUCUGCAGCCAACAAAAUUGCAACAAAGCCGCAGCGAAGUUCAUGAUCCAACAGCAACUUAAAAGUCUUACAGGAAAACAAGGGGGGAAAAAAAAGAGAAGUCAAGAAGUCAAUGCAUGCUUUGAAGGCUUUGUAAAGAACAGAUUCUGCCCCCUCCAAAUAAUUUCCAUGUACGACAAGGGUAACUUGAUGCAGUCUAUUCUUCCAGGAAGCAAUGACAAUCUAUUGUUCGGCAUUGACAUCAUCUGAAAAUUCAUUCAAAAGCUGUAUUCAUCAAAACAAUCUAUUGUUCAAAAUCAACUUAAUAUUACUUUCAUACUUACACAAAUGCUCAAACUUUCACUAAAAUAACUAAUUAUUACUUAAAUCCAGCAAGUCAGUUUCAGAGUUAAAUACAGAAAAUUCCAAUCAAAAUAAUAUAACUACAGAUAUACCAUACAAGAAACUUACCACCAAAGCAUUAAUAUAGCAAAUGAGUUUUCAAAGCAAUAAAGUCUUCAUACUAGUAGGCAAGCGAGGAAGCAAAAUCUGGGUAAAAACACUGCCCAUGAUAAUACAUUGUUGAACUGCUCAUUUUAGGAAAAAAUUAAACUUUACAACGAGUCAAUUGAAAUCGUUCUUCAAUUCACUAUUUCACUCCAAGGAAAGCCUUUAUUCAGGUGGGAACACAACACUUAAUAUUUACAGAGCUACAAGAUUGAACUCAAACAAUUAAAAAAAGAAGAUUUAAGUCACCAUUAAAACCUAAAACGUACUAAUUGAGAAAAAAUUGUGACUAUAAAAUCAAAUAUAAUUGGCCAAAAAUGGUCAACGAAGUGUUAAAAAAAAAAAAAACUUCGUGCUGUGAAAAAAACCAAGAAAUAGAACACAAUAUCAUACACAUUAACUGAUAAACCAGAUUGAAAGUGACUACGAAUUAGGAAUAGGAGAGAAUUUACCAGUGAGACAAUAGCAAUGAAAAUGAGGAAUACACCGAGUAUAGGAGACAAAUGGCUAGGUUGAGGCUAAGGCCGAGGCCGAGGCUGUACCUGUGUAGCGCUUGCUCUUUGUUGCUGUGGAUCCAUGGCACGGUUUCAACUGUUGCCAAAAUGUGUGCGAGAGAAUUUGCUGAUUACUUUAAAGCUUGAGAAGGGAAAGACAUAAUCAACACUAUAAAUCAAUAAAAAUUUCAAUUCAGACCCAAAUCAACAAUUAAAAUCAAACCCAAAUCAAUCAUUAAAAUCUAACCUUGAUACAGUUCAAAUCAAACCCUAAUUAUAAAUUAAUUCAGAAAAUCUAAUCUAAUACUAACCUUUUGCUUGAUGAUUCUGAUGGUAAAGAGAAUGUGCGGCGAAGCUAGAACAAUAGUUCUGAUGUCACGCGGUGAGUAGGGGUGGGCAUAAACCCACAACCCAUGGGUUUAUCUAAACUCAAACCAAAUUAAAUGGUUUGGGUUGGGUAAAUCAUGAAAAUGGGUUAGAUGUGGGUUUUAUGUAGAAAACCAUUUCAUUAUGGUUUGGGUAUGGUUUACCCAUGGGUUAUGGACAAAACCCCAACACACAAAUUUUUCAAAUGAAAUAAAUGAAAACAAAAUAAAUGAACACAAAUAAGUGAAAGACCACCAUUAAAUUUUUUACGGCGUGAUCAAUUGUCAACAGUUAGAAAAUGAAAAUAACAGUAAAAAUAAAUUUAAAUUAAAUAAAUAUUGUUGUAAAUAACAUAAAUUUUUUUUCUUAUUUACAAAAAUAAUUCCUCCGACAUGGAAGGAUCAUCAUAGAAAGAGCAGGAGACUCUACUAAGAAGAAAUAACAUAAAUUUCUUCUUAUUUACAAAAUUUUUUUCUUAUAAUU
rnacentral:lncRNA from 1 species